rnacentral:rRNA from 1 species
GGACUACUAGGGUAUCUAAUCCCGUUUGCUCCCCUGGCUUUCGCGCCUCAGCGUCAGAUGAGGUCCAGCGUGCCGCCUUCGCCACCGGAGUUCCAGAUGAUAUCAACGCAUUUCACCGCUCCACCAUCUGUUCCGCACGCCCCUACCUCCCUCGAGGCCCGCAGUAUCCACGGCCAUUCUCCAGUUAGGCUGGAGGAUUUCACCACAGACUUGCGAGCCCGCCUACGCGCCCUUUAAGCCCAGUGAUUCCGAACAACGUUCGCACGGUUCGUCUUACCGCGGCUGCUGGCAC